AUGGUGAGGUCUCUGGUCAAGCCCAUGGGAAAUGCAAAAUUUCGCCAUUUUUGGAGAGUUUAUCUAUAUGCCCAAAGCAUGUGCUUCACAACCCACUUGGAGCUCCAGAGAGAAAACAACGAGUUGGGGCGCGGCAGGCAGGGGAGCGUCACCAGGGAGAUGGAAAUGUAUUGUGGGAAAAAGGACAGAGAUCCCCGAGCGUUUGCGAGAGGGGAUGGAGCGGCGACUGCGUUGACCCGACCAGUUGCAAGUGGAUGGAGCGGUGGCUGCACGGACAUGCUCCUGGAGGUGCCGGUAUGCACCCUCAUUUUGAGCCUGGGAGGAUCCUCGCCCUGUCCUGGCCUCAAGGGUGCUCAUCUACUUGGUAUCGUGCUCUGCAGUCAGAAUGAUGUGCUAAUGCAGUACCUCUGUGUUUGGCGAAAGGCAAAGAUGGAUAAAGUUUGUAGCUUUUUGUUCCCGGUUUUUCCCAUCGAAAUUAUGGAUUUAGAAGCUAAUCAUGGAUUGUUUCAAUUGCCUGCUAUAUUAUGGAUUUGCAAUGAGCACAAGCCUGCAAAGAAAAGCCGUUGCCGCUGA
rnacentral:rRNA from 1 species